UACGAAGGGGGCUAGCGUUGCUCGGAAUCACUGGGCGUAAAGCGCACGUAGGCGGAUCUUUAAGUCAGGGGUGAAAUCCCAAGGCUCAACCUUGGAACUGCCUUUGAUACUGGGGAUCUCGAGUCCGGAAGAGGUUGGUGGAACUGCGAGUGUAGAGGUGAAAUUCGUAGAUAUUCGCAAGAACGCCAGUGGCGAAGGCGGCCAACUGGUCCGGUACUGACGCUGAGGCGCGAAAGCCAGGGGAGCGAACGGG
rnacentral:rRNA from 1 species